rnacentral:rRNA from 1 species
GAUGAACGCUGGCGGCGUGCCUAAUACAUGCAAGUCGAGCGAACAGACUAGGAGCUUGCUCCUCUUACGUUAGCGGCGGACGGGUUAGUAACACGUGGAUAACCUACCUAUCAGACUGUGAUAACUUCGGGAAACCGGAGCUUAUACCGUUUAAUAUAUUUAACCGUAUUGUUCGAUAGUGAAAGACGGUUUUGCUGUCACUUCUUGCUUGAUCCUCGCAGAAUUAGCUAGUUGUUAAGGUAACGGCUUAACAAGGCGACGAUGCGUAGCCGACCUGAGAGGGUGAUCGGACACACUGGAACUGAGACACGGUACAGACGCCUACGGGAGGCAGCAGUAGGGAAUCGUCGGCAAUGGGCGAAAGCAUGACGGAGAAACGCAGCGUGAGUGAUGAAGGUCUUCGGAUCGUAAAACUCUGUUAUUAGGGAAGAACAAAUGUGAAAGUAACUAUGGACGUCGUGACGGUACCGAAUCAGAAAGCCACGGCUAACUACGUG